rnacentral:rRNA from 1 species
UACGUAGGCAGCGAGCGUUGUUCGGAGUUACUGGGCGUAAAGCGUGCGUAGGCGGUGGUCCAAGUCUGGUGUGAAAUCUCCCGGCUUAACUGGGAGGGUGCGCCGGAAACUGGACUGCUGGAGUGCGGGAGAGGUAAGCGGAAUUCCCGGUGUAGCGGUGAAAUGCGUAGAUAUUGGGAGGAACACCAGUGGCGAAGGCGGCUCACUGGACCGGUACUGACGCUGAGGCGCGAAAGCGUGGGGAGCAAACAGG